CAAACUAAGAGCAGAGCAAACACGGACCUCCGAAAUAUCAGAGGUGGGAUCAGGUGCCAUGGAGGAGUGAGCAUCCCCUGCCGACCGGUCACACCCGCCGUUGAAAUAUAAUGUGUUAGCAGCAUUUUGAGCAUUUGAAAACUUACUAGUAAUCAUCAAGAGACAUAUGAUAUCGAAGAAAAAGUGCAUGUUUGUGUCCUUAAUAUUAAAAACACAUUAUAUGGUUUAUUAGUUGAGAUUCCAGGGUUGUGGUUAACCACUCGCCCACUCGCCAAAUUUCAAGUGGGCGAUGAAGAAAUCAAAAUUUGAUCGCCCACAUGGAGGGCGUCUUGUUCCCAGAAACAUGACCGUGCUUUGCUUGUAUUUUUAUAAUCCACUUCUUUUUUUUCUUAGCAAACACUAUGCUAACCAUGACUUUUGGUGUCGUGUGCAAACUAUUACAUUUGUAUACAAUGCAAACACUUGCUUGACCUAGACGUAUGCCAAGCAGCAUUUUCAAAUAUUUUGUUGAUGAGGUAUGUGGGACCGUAAAUCACAUUGUGGGCCCCUAAACUUUGAAAAGUAAGGGGCCCACAUGGCUCGUAGGAUGUAAAUGGUUAACCACAACCCUGGAGAUACUAGUAUUUUUCUUCAUAAUAUUGUACACUGUCCAUAUUUUACAUGUAUAUAUAUAUAUGUUAGAUGAACAUAAUCUAUUAUGAAUUUAUAAUGUAAUGAAAUUUCAGAUUCUGCUGUUGUACUUCUUCCAUCACGCUGAGUGCAAAGAAUGUAAGAAAUUUUGGUUGAAAUGAAUGAAUUUUACCAAUUGAUUAAUACCCUGUAAAUUUGAAAUUUUCAUUAGAUAAAAUUUAAGUGUUACCUACAUGUAAUAUGCUUUUGUAAAAAUUGCGUUUACCUCUACCAGAUGAGGUGCACAAAACAUUGUAAUAAUUGUUGACACAAGCAUCAAACUAAUAAGUUUUUUUUUAAUAUACAUGUAUGUUGGUGUUAUUUCUACACAAAUUCAUUUUACAUAAAAAUUGUCAUCAAAAUUAAAUUAUUCAUAAAAUAAAGACUGACAAAAUAGUACA